rnacentral:rRNA from 1 species
UUGAACGCUGGCGGCAGGCCUAACACAUGCAAGUCGAGCGGAUGAAGAGAGCUUGCUCUCUGAUUCAGCGGCGGACGGGUGAGUAAUGCCUAGGAAUCUGCCUGGUAGUGGGGGACAACGUCUCGAAAGGGACGCUAAUACCGCAUACGUCCUACGGGAGAAAGCAGGGGACCUUCGGGCCUUGCGCUAUCAGAUGAGCCUAGGUCGGAUUAGCUAGUUGGUGAGGUAAUGGCUCACCAAGGCGACGAUCCGUAACUGGUCUGAGAGGAUGAUCAGUCACACUGGAACUGAGACACGGUCCAGACUCCUACGGGAGGCAGCAGUGGGGAAUAUUGGACAAUGGGCGAAAGCCUGAUCCAGCCAUGCCGCGUGUGUGAAGAAGGUCUUCGGAUUGUAAAGCACUUUAAGUUGGGAGGAAGGGCAGUAAAUUAAUACUUUGCUGUCUUGACAUUACCGACAGAAUAAGCACCGGCUAACUCUGUGCCAGCAGCCGCGGUAAUACAGAGGGUGCAAGCGUUAAUCGGAAUUACUGGGCGUAAAGCGCGCGUAGGUGGUUUGUUAAGUUGGAUGUGAAAUCCCCGGGCUCAACCUGGGAACUGCAUUCAAAACUGACAAGCUAGAGUAUGGUAGAGGGUGGUGGAAUUUCCUGUGUAGCGGUGAAAUGCGUAGAUAUAGGAAGGAACACCAGUGGCGAAGGCGACCACCUGGACUGAUACUGACACUGAGGUGCGAAAGCGUGGGGAGCAAACAGGAUUAGAUACCCUAGUAGUCCACGCCGUAAACGAUGUCAACUAGCCGUUGGGAGCCUUGAGCUCUUAGUGGCGCAGCUAACGCAUUAAGUUGACCGCCUGGGGAGUACGGCCGCAAGGUUAAAACUCAAAUGAAUUGACGGGGGCCCGCACAAGCGGUGGAGCAUGUGGUUUAAUUCGAAGCAACGCGAAGAACUUUACCAGGCCUUGACAUCCAAUGAACUUUCCAGAGAUGGAUUGGUGCCUUCGGGAACAUUGAGACAGGUGCUGCAUGGCUGUCGUCAGCUCGUGUCGUGAGAUGUUGGGUUAAGUCCCGUAACGAGCGCAACCCUUGUCCUUAGUUACCAGCACGUCAUGGUGGGCACUCUAAGGAGACUGCCGGUGACAAACCGGAGGAAGGUGGGGAUGACGUCAAGUCAUCAUGGCCCAUACGGCCUGGGCUACACACGUGCUACAAUGGUCGGUACAGAGGGUUGCCAAGCCGCGAGGUGGAGCUAAUCCCAUAAAACCGAUCGUAGUCCGGAUCGCAGUCUGCAACUCGACUGCGUGAAGUCGGAAUCGCUAGUAAUCGCGAAUCAGAAUGUCGCGGUGAAUACGUUCCCGGGCCUUGUACACACCGCCCGUCACACCAUGGGAGUGGGUUGCACCAGAAGUAGCUAGUCUAACCUUCGGGGGGACGGUUACCACGGUGUGAUUCAUGACUGGGGUG